AAAAAUAAGUCACAAAGUAAAGUUGUGGGUUUGUAGUCAAUGCUUUAUUCAGGAUUUGCUCCUUCAUUAUCAGGCCUUCUGACAGAAAGCUUUAUAGUUCCCCCCUUCUUCUCCUUCUUUGAGGGGAGGUGAUAAAAAUCUUUAGGACUCCUGAGAAAGCCUAUUUCUUCCCUUCAGCUGUGCAGCUUUUGUCCACAUAUGCUUGCGAUCAGAGGUGCUAUGAACACAGAACCAUUUUCCAGGCUGCAUUUUUUUCUGAUUGUGUAUUACCACAGUCCCACAAGGCAUUGGUCCUUUCUCAUUGGGAAGUCAUGAAUAAGAGACUAAGAAGCGUGCGCGUCAGAUCUUCCUCAAUUAAUCUACCAUUAGCAUGUUUGGGAUCCACUACUGGAUGGUUAACAGCAGCUUUUGCAACUGUCUGCUGUCCAUAUCGAAACAUACUCUGGGAAGACAACCGGAGAGAAGGAGAUUAGAAUGUUCCCAUUUUUCCAUAUCACUGGUAGUGGCUGGGGACAUUAGAUUACAGCUGCAUUGGUGUGAAUUGUGUGUUUAGAAAAUCGCACGGUUUCUGGCUUUUCUAGAGUCGCAGGGGCUGAAGGUUAUCAACGGGAACAGUAUGACAGGCAGCAGUAUCUGACGGGAUCGAGAAACAGCUUUUGCAAAGUGCACCCAUACCCAUCUGUGGGGGUUAUUGGCACAGUAACCGGUAUAAAUCACGGGGGUGAACAGGGCUAAACCAUCACUUUCCCUUUCGCAAUAUAACAAUAUGAGGGUGCCUCGGCUACAAUGGAGAUGUCUUUUUUAUUGGAAGACUAACGUGAAAUAUUAAGAAGGCUCUUAUGUUUACCAUAACGGACCUAAAGGUAAAACUGGGAUGCUGCCAUAUUGGGAUGCUCAGGAAAUGCUAACUUGCAACAAGCACAAGAACUGUGGUCCUGUGUGAAAUGAGAGGCAACUCACAAGCACCUGCCAACUUAUCGUAUUAAGUUUAACUACUUAUUAUAUGCUGUCAUUUUCCAGUCAAGGAAUGUAAGCCUUUGCAGUUCAGUAGUGCUGAAAUAUCUAUUGCAAAUGGGUGUAAUGUUGCAACAACAGUACACACAAAUAUGUACUCAUGAAUGCAUACACAUACACACACAUAUACACAAAAAUGGAACUCCAAUUACAAACAUAACUAGAUGCCAGAAAUCAAAAUAUGUAUGUCAAUUUACAGACUGGCUGACAUAUUAGGAAGUGCUGUUACAUAAGCAUGCAUAUCAUAUCAGUUGUUGCCUACAGUUCUGAAAGAAACCUGUGGCAAAUAGGACAUUCUAGGUAGAGCUAAACCAAAAUAGCAGUUUAAUUUUUCUGCUCUAGCCUAGGUCAGAGGAAAAAGCUAGAAAUGUAAAGAAAAAUUGGAAAAUUAGAACAAACUACAGAAAGAAACAGUCUAUCAGAAGGAAAAAAAAUGCAAGGUUGAUGUGGCAAAAGUGGUUUGAAUGGUAGUUAAGCAUUGCAAAGACAGAUUUUCUAUGGCAAAUAGUAAAUGCCCACCAUAAGAAGGGCACAGAACAAGAGAACAUCAAAACAUAAGGAAAGAGUCCAAAGGGCAGAAGACCAUUUCAUAAGCUGUAUGGAAAUAUUAAAAAUUCUAGAGGAUGAGGUGCAAAAGCUAAAAUGUAAACUGGAUAAUCAGGAAAAUGUAUCCAAAAGAGGCAACUUAGGAAUUACUGAGAAGCAAAAGAUUAAUAAGAGAAUACCAAACAAGUUUGAAUAUGCUUUUCCUUAAACUUGGUAACAAAUUAGAUGAAUACUCCCAAAGAAAACUCAGUCCUGGAGUGGAAAAAUACAAAGAGCCAGAGGGUAAUCAAGCUAUCUAUUAUGCAAGCUACAUUAUUAUACAACAAACCAAUGGAUUCAGAGGAGUGUAACACCAAAGUGAACAGAAUGAGAUGGCACCAAAAUAAUGAUUAAUGCAAAUUACUGCAGAAAGCUGCACCAACAGAGACAGGAGCAUAACAUAAUAAAACAAUAAUUAAGGGGGAGAAGUGUGAACUCCAGAUUGCAGUUUCAUACAAAACUCUUGAUAAAUAUAACUGACCACCAGACAUUCAGUUAAAGUCCCUUAAGCAGCCUUUGGGGUAUUACAGAUGAACUUGGAGUUUAUAAAAAAACAAAACCUCUGAAGAAAUCCAUGAAAUAGAAAUAACAUACAUCUCCCUGAAAAGAAAGUGCCUGUUUGCAUCAGACAAUAAAAUUGCAACACUCAUUAAAAAAAAAAAAAAAAAAAAAAAA